rnacentral:lncRNA from 1 species
UUCCCAGUGCUGGAAUAUAGAAAAUGGAUGGACAAGUAAGUCCCACUCAGCACCCAUAGCCCAGCUGAAUCUACCAUGAAAGACUUCAGAAUCCAGGAAGAGAGACUGACUGGGCAACAUCUUAUUCAGAAAAAGGACCUUGCUGUGUUGCUCAGGAUGGAGUUCAGUGGUCCUAUCAUGGCUCAUUGUAGCCUCAAACUCCCAGGCUCAAGCAAUCCUCCCACCUCAUCCCUCCCAGUAGCUGGGACUAUAGGAACUGACCUCACGAUGACUCAAGGUACCACUUAUUGUUGAUUGUGAUGAAAUGCCAGCUGAAGCAUAUGCCCUGCGAGCUUAGGGGUGCUACACUUGACCAUGGCGGCAAUAAAGAUGACUUUGAAGAAUGGCAUGGGAUGGAUCCUUUUGAAUGCACUCAAGCAGGGGUCUCCAACCACAGGGCCACAGAACCGGAGGUG